UUGUUGGAGAGUUUGAUCCUGGCUCAGGACGAACGCUGGCGGCGUGCUUUAUACAUGCAAGUCAAGGAGAACGUUUUCUUCGGAAAAUUAUUAAACUGGCGAACGGGUGAGUAACGCGUAGGCAACCUGCCCUAGAGAUUGGGAUAACAUCGGGAAACCGGUGCUAAUACCGAAUAAUGCAGCGGAUCCUUCGGGAUACAGUUGUUAAAGCGGGCUUCGGCUCGCACUUUAGGAUGGGCCUGCGUCCGAUUA
rnacentral:rRNA from 1 species